rnacentral:lncRNA from 1 species
UGCCUCGUCUAACUCCACAAACAUGCUUUUGUCACCGCACAUAUGGUUGCUUGCACCCGUGUCGAGAUACCACAAAUUCGAUCCUCCGUUGUCUCAACCUUUGCAUGCUAGUAACAAAGUGUUUUCCACGGCUUCGGCAUCUUCUUGUGCAAAAUUUGCUCUUUCUUGCACGUAAUUUCUUGCACGUAAUCAUCAAACUAAGAUUUUGAUCCUAGGAGAAAAUUCGUCAGACUAGGUCUUUUAUCUUAGGAGAAAAAUUCAUCAGACUAAGAUUUUGAUCCUAGGAGAAAAUUCAUCAGACUAGGUCUUUUUUUGUUAUCUUAGGAGAAAGAUUCAUCACACUAAGACUUCUAUACUAGGAGAAAGUUCAUCAGACCAGAUUUUCUAUUAGGAGAAAAAUUCAUCAGACUAGGAUUUUGAUCCUAGGAGAAAGUUCAUCAGACUAGGUCUUCUAUCUUAGGAGAAAGAUUCAUUAGACUACGAUUUUUAUCCUAGGAGAAAAUUCGUCAGACUAAGAUUUUGAUCCUAGGAGAAAAUUCAUCAGAAUAGGUCUCUUUUUGUUGUCUUAGGAGAAAGAUUCAUCACACUAAGACUUCUAUCCUAGGAGAAAGUUCAUCAGACUAGGUUUUCUAUCUUAGGAGAAAAAUUCAUCAGACUAAGAUUAUGAUCCUAGGAGAAAGUUCAUCAGACUAGGUCUUCUAUCUUAGGAGAAAGAUUCAUCAGACUAAGAUUUGAUUGGGAGGAAAAUUCGCCAAACCAGGACUUUUAUCUUAGGAGGAAAAAUCUAAGAGCAAUGGAAACAUUUAGGCACACUAGCAAGACAGGUAAGGGAAAAGAUUUUAGAAACUUCCCUUUGUCGAUUCUUUUUCUCUUUUUUUUUAUUCAUUUUUGUUUUUCAACCCACUUGCUUGAACUGCUUCAUUCCUGUUUCGAACAAAGAAAACUUGUGAGUUUAAAUGUAUUGGUUAGUUUGUGGCCUUGACCUUGAAGGCGCCUGCUUCUACACUUGCCGUGGUAACUUUGAUUUCAAAUUGAACGACCUUGAAUGUUGUCGACUACCCAUUUUCUUUCAAACCUUAUCAUAAAGAAAUAUUACUGAUUCAUUCAAGUCCAAUACCUUAUGCCCGAUGCAUUGCAUUAGUGUUCUGACCUUCAUCCAAUCUUUGCAUUUUACAUCAAUCCCAAAGAACAUCUAUUAUCACCAACUCAGUUCACACACUAUUCUCAUGUAUCUUAUGCCAUUUUGAUGUGCUUGCCAGACUCGGCUUUGUGCAAUUGGAAAGCUUGGUAGCUAAUUUUGAAGUUAUUUCUCACUUG